GCCUGCUGUCAUGCAACGUGUCUUUGCUCCUCCUUCACCUUCCGCCAUGAUUGUGAGGCUUCCCCAGCCAUGUGGAAACAUAUUCGCAGAGCACCCACUAGGUGCCAGUAAAUGUAUGAGAAGUCCUGUGGAAUAAGACUGAAGUUGUCCUUGCCUUCAAGCAACUUGCAAUUGCCUAAGAACACAGUUUAAAACCACAAAACUAAGCCUUGGAAAUCACAUGCUGUCAUUUCUGCGAUCGGUCAUAACCAGUCCUGAUUCCAUGUUAGAGGAGACUACAUAAGGACACAGGUACCAGAAGAUGAAAAAUUUGGAGUCUAGUGAAAAGAAGUGACUUGCUCAAAAUCACACAGCACAUGAAGAACAGAGCCUCUAUGAUGAAUUUCUUGACAGAUCAAGAACUACUUUGGACUUUAUGUCUUAUUACUCAAGGAAGACAUUUCCUAAGCUACAGAGGCCAUAGAUAGUGAUUCCUCUGAUGGAUCUUGGCAAAGUAAGUGGAAAACUUUCUGGAAAGAAUUCACAACUCUAGAUGUCAUUAAGAACAUUUGGGAUUCCUGGGAGGGGAUCAAAAUAUCAUUAACGGGAAUUUGGAAGAAGUUGACUCCAACCCUCAUGGAUGAAAUCGAGGGAUUCAAGACUUCAGUGGAGGAAGUAACUGCAGACAUGGUGGAAAUAGUGAGAGAACUAGAAUUAGAAGUGAAGCCUGAAUAUGUAACUGAAUUGCUGCAAUCUUACGAUGAAAUUUUAAGAGAUAACGAGUUGUUUCUUAUGAAUGAGCAAAGAAAAUGGUUUUUUGAGAUGGAAUCUACUGCUGGUGAAGAUGCUCUAAACAUUGGUGAAAUGACUAUUUAGAAUAUUACAUAAACUUAGUUGAUAACAUGGUGGCAGGGAUUGAGAAGAUUGACUCCAAUUUAGGGAGAGAAUUACUACUGCAGGUAAAAUGCUGUCGGACAGCGUUGCAUGCUACAGAGAAAUCUUUCAUCAGAGGAAAAAUCAAUUGAUGGAGAAAACAUUAUUGUCAUCUUAUUUUAAGAAAUUACCACAGCCACCCCAACCUUCAGCAACCAUCUCUGAUGAGUCAGCAGCCAUCAACAUCAAGGCAAGACCCUCCACCAGCAAAAUGAUUACAACUUGCUAAAUGCUCAGAUUAUUAUUAGCAUAUUUUAGCAAUAAAAUAUUUUUAUUUUUAAGCUGAUAUAAGUCUUUUGAGGUACAGCCUGGCACAAAAAGGAUGAGAUUUGUG
rnacentral:lncRNA from 1 species